rnacentral:rRNA from 1 species
UACGUAGGGGGCAAGCGUUAUCCGGAUUUAUUGGGCGUAAAGAGCUCGUAGGCGGCCGUUCGCGUCGGAUGUGAAAGCUCAGGGCUCAACCCUGAGACGCCAUUCGAUACGGGACGGCUAGAGGUAGGUAGGGGAAAGUGGAAUUCCUGGUGUAGCGGUGAAAUGCGCAGAUAUCAGGAGGAACACCGGUGGCGAAGGUGGGUCUCUGGGCCGAAACUGACGCUGAGGAGCGAAAGCGUGGGGAGCAAACAGG